rfam:Schistosoma rodhaini strain Burundi genome assembly, scaffold: SROB_scaffold0011856
AUCCAGAUGACGAGUCCCGAAUAGGACGAAACGUGUGUCCUGGAU